rnacentral:lncRNA from 1 species
UUUUUUAAUGUAUUAAUAAAAAAUAUAAAACAUAAAGUUUCGUUACUUAUAUUCAUUAAGUGUAUUUUAUAUGCAGCACAAGAUAAUAAUUCUUCAGUCAGUGCGGCCCAGGCAAGCCAGAAGAUUGGACACUUGUGCACUAACUCAAGGACAAAAGAACCAGCUUGGAAUUGGAGAAGCGCAGUUUGAACUCCACAAUCUUGGGUGAAAAAGAAAGAAAGAAGAGAAAGAAGCUUGAUUCUGAAGACUGCUGUUUUUUCUUGUAUUUUUUCAGUCAAAGAACUGAGGUAAGGAGAAAACUGAAGAGGUAUAAGCCUUUUCAGUAUUUUUUUGUGCAUAUCUCAAAUGUUUGUCUUUUUCUGUAAAAGAUUUGCUAAUGCAA